UACGAAGGGGGCUAGCGUUGCUCGGAAUUACUGGGCGUAAAGGGCUCGUAGGCGGCCAACUAAGUCAGACGUGAAAUCCCCAGGCUCAACCUGGGAACUGCGUCUGAUACUGGAUGGCUUGAAUCCGGGAGAGGGAUGCAGAAUUCCAGGUGUAGCGGUGAAAUGCGUAGAUAUCUGGAGGAAUACCGGUGGCGAAGGCGGCAUCCUGGACCGGCAUUGACGCUGAGGAGCGAAAGCCAGGGGAGCAAACGGG
rnacentral:rRNA from 1 species